UCAGGAAAUCAGGGCAGCAGAUCAAGCAGAUGGCUAGAAGAACAGAGCAAGUCCAGCAGAAGUCACGGACAGCAGAGCUGAUCAGGUGGACAGGCACGACACCAGAGAUACCAGAGCAGGUCCAGUAGACGGCCAGGAAAGUAGAAAUCCACGAUAGAAAACAAUAAUAUAAAGAGGAAAAAACAUCCACGUAGGGCAUGGGCAAGUCACGGUAGGUCUAAUAACAUUCAACAAAUGAUCAGGACUGAACAGAAAUCAGGGCAUUAUAUACACAAAGACUAAUGAGAUAAUUAAACACAGGUGAGGAAUAAUGGGAAACAGCUGGAGGUGAUCAGAUCAUGUAAUGAUGGGAAAUAUAGUAUAUGGGGAACAGAUGACAGAGGCAACACAGGCAGAUGGCUAGAAGAACUGAAUAAGUCCAGCAGAAGGCCAGGACAGCAGAGUUGAUCAGGUGGACAGACACGACACCAGGGAUACAAGAGCAGGUACAGCAGAAGGCCAGGACAGCAGAGUUGAACAGGUGGAAAGCCACAAACAUUCAAAUAUUGACCAAUACUGAACAGAAAUCAGGGCAUUAUAUACACAAAGACUAAUGAGAUAAUUAAACACAGGUGAGGAAUAAUGGGAAACAGCUGGAAGUGA